rnacentral:tRNA from 1 species
GCGCUCUUAGUUCAGUUCGGUAGAACGUGUGUCUCCAAAACCCAAUGUCGUAGGUUCAAAUCCUACAGUGUGUG